rnacentral:piRNA from 1 species
UGGGCGCUGCAGAAACCCCCUUUUCAUGC